AUGGGCAAACUAGUUGCAGCAAUAGGCAAGUUGCUCUGCUGUGUACAAGUGGACCAGUCAACAGUAGCCAUCAAGGAAAGAUUUGGGAAAUUUGAGGAUGUGCUUGAUCCCGGGUGUCACUGUGUGCCAUGGAUUAUCGGAAGCCGUGUCAGUGGUAAGCUUACACUUAGGCUUAGGCAAAUGGACGUUCGCUGUGAGACAAAGACAAAGGUACUCUUACAAUUCACUUCUCGAAUUAUCCACUCAAAACACCCCCAUGCAUCACAAAAACUUGUAGAGAUCACAUUGAUUUAUGCGAUCUAUUUUCUGCUGACACUAUGCAUCAUCUUACAGGACAAUGUUUUUGUUACAAUUGUUGCAUCCAUUCAAUACCGAGCAAUGGAGGACAAAGCAAAUGAUGCGUACUAUAAGCUGAGCAACCCAAAAUCUCAAAUCCAAUCUUAUGUCUUUGAUGUUAUCAGAGCAAGCAUUCCCAAACUACAACUGGAUGAUGUUUUUGAGCAAAAGAACGACAUAGCAAAAUCUGUGGAGCAGGAGCUUGAGAAGGCUAUGUUUGCUUAUGGCUAUGAGAUUGUGCAGACACUAAUUGUUGAUAUAGAGCCAGAUGAAAAGGUUAAAAAGGCUAUGAAUGAAAUUAAUGCCGCUGCAAGAAUGCGUGUUGCGGCAAAUGAGAAGGCAGAGGCAGAAAAGAUCGUUCAAAUCAAGAGAGCUGAGGGUGAGGCUGAAGCUAAGUAUCUCUCUGGCCUUGGAAUUGCAAGGCAGCGGCAGGCAAUAGUUGAUGGCCUCAGAGACAGUGUGCUUGGCUUUUCUGGCAAUGUGCCCGGGACUUCCGCCAAGGAUGUGAUGGACUUGGUUCUGCUCACCCAAUACUUUGACACCAUGAAAGAGAUUGGUGCUUCAUCCAAAUCUUCUGCAGUUUUCCUCCCGCAUGGCCCAGGUGCCGUUGCAGACAUUGCCAGUCAGAUUCGCAAUGGAUUUCUUCAGGCGUCCACACAUCAUGCCUGA
rnacentral:rRNA from 1 species